rnacentral:tRNA from 1 species
GGUGAGGUGUCCGAGUGGCUGAAGGAGCACGCCUGGAAAGCGUGUAUACGUUCAUAGCGUAUCGAGGGUUCGAAUCCCUCUCUCACCGCCA